rnacentral:lncRNA from 10 species
CCUGCCUUGGUCCUUCACCCUUAGCGGCAAGUCCUGCUUUUCUGGGGAAGGGGCAAGUACCCCAACCCCUUCUCUCCUUGUCUCUACCCCUUCUCUGCCUUUCCUGGGGCAGGGGCAAGUACCCCUCAACCCCUUCUCCUUCACCCUUAGAGGCAAGUCCCGCUUUCCUAGGGGCAAGAACCUCCCAAUCGCUUAUUUCCGCACCCCAACCUCUUAUCUCUGUGCCCCAAUCCCUUAUUUCCGUGCCCCAACCCUUUCUCUGCUUUUCUGGAGGGCAAGAACUCCCCACCCCUUCUCCAUGUCUCUACUCUUUUCUCUGGGCUUGCCUCCUUCACUAUGGGUAGGCUUCCACCUUCCAUUCCUCCUUGUUCUCCCUUAGCCUGUGUUCUCAAAAACUUAAAACCUCUUCAACUCACACCUGACCUAAAACCUAAAUGCCUUAUUUUCUUCUGCAAUGCCGCUUGACCCCAAUACAAACUCGACAGUAGUUCCAAAUAGCUGGAAAACGGCGCUUUCAAUUUUUCCAUCCUACAAGAUCUAAAUAAUUCUUGUCGUAAAAUGGGCAAAUGGUCUGAGGUGCCUGACGUCCAGGCAUUCUUUUACACAUCAGUCCCUUCCUAGUCUCUGUGCCCCGUGCAACUCGUCCCAAAUCUUCCUUCUUUCCCUCCCUCCUGUCCCCUCAGUCCCAACCCCAAGCGGCGCUGAGUCUUUCUAAUCUUCCUCUUCUACAGACCCAUCUGACCUCUCCCCUCCGCGCCAGCCCAAGCUAGGUCCCAAUUCUUCCUCAGCCUCCGCGCCUCCCCCCCCUUCAUCCCACACCUGGUCCGACUUACAGUUUCAUUCUGUGACUAGCCCUCCCCCACCUGCCCAGCAAUUUACUCUUAAAAAGGUGGCUGGAGCCAAAGGCAUAGUCAGGGUUAAUGCUCCUUUUUCUUUAUCCCAAAUCACAUAGCGUUUAGGCUCUUUUUCAUCAAAUAUAAAAACCCAGCCCAGUUCAUGGCUCGUUCGGCAGCAACCCUGAGACGCUUUACAGCCCUAGACCCUAAAAGGUCAAAAGGCCAUCUUAUUCUCAAUAUACAUUUUAUUACCCGAUCUGCUCCCGACAUUAAAUAAAACUCCAAAAAUUAAAUUCCGGCCCUCAAACCCCACAACAGGAUUUAAUUAACCUUGCCUUCAAGGUGUACAAUAAUAGAAAAAAGUUGCAAUUCCUUGGCUCCACUGUGAGACAAACCCCAGCCACAUCUCCAGCAUACAAGAACUUCCAAAUGCCUGAACCGCAGCGGCUAGGCGUUCUUCUAGAACCUCCUCCCCCAGGAGCUUGCUACAAGUGCCAGAAAUCUGACCACCAGGGCAAGGAAUGCCUGCAGCCCAGGAUUCCUCCUAAGCCGUGUCCCAUCUGUGCGGGACCC